GACGAACGCUGGCGGUGUGCCUAAUACAUGCAAGUAGAACGCAGUUGCGAACGGGUGAGUAACGCGUAGGUAACUGCCUCAUAGCGGGGGAUAACUAUUGGAAACGAUAGCUAAUACCGCAUACUGUGAGAUGGACCUGCGUUGUAUUAGCUAGUUGGUGGGGUAAAGGGUCACCAAGGCGACGAUACAUAGCCGACCUGAGAGGGUGGUCGGCCACACUGGGACUGGGACAAGGGCCAGACUCCUACGGGGAGGAGCAGUAGGGGAUCAUCGGAAAUGGACGGAAGUCUGGCCGAGGCACGCCGGGUGAGUGAAGAAGGUUUUCGGAGCGUAAAGCUCUGUUGUUAGAGAAGCGGUAACUAAACAGAAAGGGACGGCUAACUACGUGCCAGCAGCCGCGGUAAUUC
rnacentral:rRNA from 1 species